UUCCUUCCUCUAAACUAGGGUUCUGCAAACUCUGGCCUGCUGGUAGCCUGGCCAGUGGAUUCUUGUUGGACCCUGAGCUAAUAAUGGUUUUAUGUUUGUUUAGGGAAAUACAUUUCCUCCUCUUCUGGGAGCUCCCAACCUCAGAAGAUGAAUUCUGUGGAAUAUGAUUGUUAUCACCUCAUGGCGAGCAUAGCUGUCUCCCUGUUACAAGCUGGUUUCGUUGGACGCGAGGGCACCAGGAGCACACCGAGGGACAGACAUACCCCUGCCCCAGGGGAAUGAUCCCUGAGAGCAGAAGCCGGAGGAAAGUGGCACCUCUUCCCCUUUCCCAUACUACUUCCUCCCACCAAGGGGUGGAAGGGUCUGAGGUAGAGGAACCUGGGUAAUAAGAGUGCAUCUAGUGGGUAGAUGAGAACACAGGUCCAGCAACAGCCUAGGGUCCAAGCUCUGGCUCUGGAUAACUGGAUAAUUGGUGACCCAUCACUUCAGGAUUGCCCCCCAAGGCUUGACGUUUAUUCCAAUUUUUUGAGCCUCUCUAGGAAGCCAGAAGGCUCUGCCCAGGAAGGAUGGCUUAGUGAAGUUUUCUCCUUGGUCUUUGGCGACACCUGGUGGUCACUGGCCAUCAUAGUACUGACUUGCCUCAGGCAGAUCCUCAGAAGCCGUCUUUCAUAUCUUCUCAUUUCAUCCAGAGGGCUCAAAGAGCUGCAAAGCUCUGCGCAAUCACACCACAAUUUAUUCCUUUUUUUCAUUCAUUGUUUUUUUUUUUAAAGAGAGAGAGAGAGAGAGAGAGAGAGAGAGAGAAUAUGAGAAUUUCAAUAUUUGUUUUUUAGUUUUUUUGGCGGACACAACAUCUUUGUUUGUAUGUGGUGCUGAGGAUGGAACCCGGGCCUCACACAUGCCAGGUGAGCGCGCUACCGCUUGAGCCACAUCCCCAGCCCAUUCAUUAUUUUUUUAAACAUUUAUUUUUUAGUUGUUGUUGGACACAAUAUAUCUAGGGGUUCUCGAACAAUGAGCUACAUCCCCAGCUCUUUUUAUUUACUUAUAUUUUUAAUUUUUUUUCCUAUGGUGAUGGGGCGCCUUGUGCAUGAGAGGCAAGCACUCUAACAACUGAGGUAUAUCACCAGCCCAUUUAAAAUUCAAAAAAAUUUUUUUUUAGUUGUAGGUGGACACAAUACCUUUAUCAUAUUUAUUUUUUUAAUGUGGUGCUGGGGAUCGAACCCAGUGCCUCACACAUGCUAGGCAGGUGCGCCACUGCUGAGCUACAACCCCAGCCCUAUUUAAAUUUUUUUUUUAAAUAUUUAUUUUUUAGUUUUAGGUGGACACAAUAUCUUCAUUUUAUUUUUAUGAGGUGCUGAGAAUCGAACCCAGUGCCUCACGCAUGCUAGGCAUGCACUCUACCACUUGAGCCACAUCCCCAGCCCUUUUCAUUUUUUUAAAAUAUUUUUUUUAGUUGUAGAUGGACACAAUACCUUUAUUUUUUAUUUAUUUAUUUUUAUGUAGUGCUGAGGAUUGAACCCAGUGCCUCACACAGGCGAGGCAAGCGCUCUGCCACUGAGCCACAAUCCCAGCCCUAUUUUUUUAAUUUUUUAGAACAUUUUUUUUUAGUUGUCUAUAACCUUUAUAUAUUUAUUUACAUGAGGUGCUGAGAAUCGAACCCAGGGCCUCACACAUGCUAGGCAAGCAGCUCUACCUCUAAGCUACAACCCCUGCCAUAUAUAUGUAUAUAUAUAUACACACAUAUCUAUAUAUACACACUUACAUAUAUAUAC
rnacentral:lncRNA from 1 species